rnacentral:tRNA from 1 species
GCCAGCAUAGUGUAGUGGUAUGAAUGCCAGACUACAAGUCUGGAGACUUGGGUUUCAAUCCCUACUCGGGCA